rnacentral:rRNA from 1 species
AAACUUUCAACAACGGAUCUCUUGGUUCUGGCAUCGAUGAAGAACGCAGCGAAAAUGCGAUACGUAAUGUGAAUUGCAGAAUUCAGCGAACCAUCGAAUCUUUGAACGCACAUUGCGCCUGCCAGCAUUCUGGCAGGCAUGCCUGUCCGAGCGUCAUUU